ACAGGAGCCAAAUUAGCCAGGCUGUUUAUCCCCCACCACCAUGUUUCCCAUGGCACAGCAGGAGAGGGGCCAGCACUAGCAGUACAACCCCUAAAAUGUGCCUUUUCCCCUUUUGGUGUCUGCUUCAGGAGCUUGGGUUGCUCCAUUUGCAUCCAAGGAGUGUUACUUACGGGCUGAAAAUCUCUGUGGAGGAUGAGGAACUCCUUUGGAGAAUCAGAUACUGCUGGGAAAGGGAAAGAGAUGCUCACUUCAAAAAGGUAAUCCUCUUAAUCCUUUGGAAAGGUAAUGUUCUAGUCCUUUGCCAGUGUCAUUUAUACAGGCACUGUCUCAUGAGCUUGCUCUCUUUUGGGCACUGUCUUCAUGCUCGAGUUUGGUGUUAGCAGGGCUUGCAGCAAACUGAACCAGAAGCCAGCUUUAUUUCCGCCCCCUGACACUCUGUUUACUGAUUUAUCACUUUCUUCUAGCACCAGUGUCUUAGUUUUUGCUCCUGACUGUCUGCUCUGGCACGUGACCAACCUGGGAGCUGGUGAGCACUGCCUCUCAGAUCCCCAGCCAAAGGUCAGUAGCUGCAUGGUGGCCUCUGGAUUCCUUGGAUACCGACCCUUGUCAUGUGGGGAGGCAUUAACCUUUGGCCCUGAGCUCAAAUUCUGCCUCUCAGCAGCCAAGGAGUAUGGGGAAUGAAUCCUGAAUGCAGACAAGGGGCGCUGAAGAACAGGAAUCUCAGUUUGCAGGAUGAACUGAGAAGCUGGAUAUCCUGGCUGAAGUCUGCCAAGGCUCAGAGGAGCACAGCAGCAUGCCAGAUCCUCUCUGGAUUUGAGCAUAUCAGCCUGGUAAGAGUCCAGCAAGAGUAAGUGUCCCUCUGAAUUGCUGCUUUUGUGGUACACAAUCACUAUUACAGUGGCUUUACUAUAGAACUUGUCUCAUAACCAAACCAAUUUCCCAAGAUAAUGCAGAACAAGGCCUUGAAGACAAAUAAUAAUGUAUUUAUAUAGUGCAUUUCUUUUUACCAGCAAACAUGAAAAAAAAAAAGCACAUUGAUCCCA
rnacentral:lncRNA from 1 species